UGAGGAAUAUUGGUCAAUGGGCGAGAGCCUGAACCAGCCACGUCGCGUGAAGGAAGACUGACCUUACGGUUUGUAAACUUCUUUUGUAGAGGGGUAAUGGCAGAUACGUGUAUUUGCGUGAAAGUACUCUACGAAUAAGCAUCGGCUAACUCCGUGCCAGCAGCCGCGGUAAUACGGGGGAUGCGAGCGUUAUCCGGAAUUAUUGGGUUUAAAGGGUGCGCAGGUGGCUAAUCAGGUCAGUGGUGAAAAGCUAUGGCUCAACCAUGGUCUUGCCAUUGAAACCGUAAAGCUAGAGAGGAGACGAGGUAGGCGGAAUGUGUGGUGUAGCGGUGAAAUGCAUAGAUAUCACACAGAACUCCGAUUGCGAAGGCAGCUUACCAGGCUUUAUCUGACACUUAGGCACGACAGCGUGGGGAUCAAACAGG
rnacentral:rRNA from 1 species